GCGGAAGUGGUGGAAUCGGCAGACACGCUAGCUUGAGGGGCUAGUCCCUUAACCGGGGUGGGGGUUCAAAUCCCCCCUUCCGCA
rnacentral:tRNA from 2 species